GAUUAAAUUGUCGGUUGAUUGGAUUUAGCCUUGAGUAGAUGAUUUUGUGCUUAAAUUGCUUGGAGUUAUUGAUGUGCACCUUUAUUUCCAAUAUUUGAGUUCUAAAUUAGAUGCAUGGGAAUGAUCUAGUUUAGUUUUGACCUAUUUCAUCAAUUUGCUUGAGUAAUUGCAUGGGAAUGAAUUAUUUGAGUAGAAUUUGUAUUCCUUGGUAUGAAUCCAUGUUGAUUAUCAUUGUUGUCUUAGUUGAUCAUGAUUGGAACCCCAUUUCCCUAGUAUUUUGAUCAUAUUUCUCUCAAAUCUUGUUUUCAAUCCUUAUUUUAGUAUUUCUAGUUUGAAUUUUCUUAUUUUGCUUGCUUUAAUCUUUUUCAGUAGAUAAUUUGAUCAUAGAAAUUCACCACUAGUUGAAAAACUUAAAUGAGCACCGCAGAAUGCGCACCAGUUUUAAAAAAACCGGUGCGAAAAAAUGUAGGCAAGAUUGAGGGGAAGAGUUAAUAGCACCGGUUCGGUUUGAACCGGUGCGAGUACUAUUGUACAAAAAAAAAAAAAAACCACCGGUCAUUUUGAUUUUCUUUCUUUCUCUUUCCUCGAUCUCUCCUCCACUCUCAUCUGCCUCUCUUUCUCCUCCAUUAUUGAAGCGUACUCAAAAUUCUCCAUUGAAGGGUCUUCUGAGCUUUCUCUCCUCCACUGAAGCAGUCUGAAAGGGUUUGGUUUGUGGAACGUACUCGAAAUUCUCCAUUGAAGUGGCUUUAAACUUUAUGAGCUUUCUCUCCUCCAUUAAAGCAGUCUCUAAGGUCAUGCAUUUGAAGCCCGUAUAUAUGCCGAAGAUGUUCCAAAAGGGUUUCUCCUUUCUACUUGGGUUCUUCCUGACCUUCAACCUGUUCUAGAAUCAGAUACAAGUUUUGGCACCUUUUGUCAGUUUUUAUGUGUACAAUUAUAAUAGUGCACUUUAAAUAAUCUUUACCCCCGCAAUAUAGAGGUUUACAGGUGGUUUUGUCAGAUUAAUUGUUGCACCAAGCUCGUUCAGUUUCCCCUUCUAUUGGAAUGAUCAAUUUCAAUAUUGGAGGAACGCUUUGAUUUUUAAAUUAAUGGUGUAGAUGUGAUAUGUCUAAUUUUGCAUGAUGUUAUGAUUUGUUAGAGUGUUUCUCCUUCACAAAUCACAUUUGUUACUUGUUUAAGUCCACCUGUCAUUUUUGCUGCUCUAUAACAUACUUUCUUGUCAAGUACUCAAGUUAUCUUCUUUGAACAGUUCGUGUUGAAGACAGGAGUUGAACAAGGAGACGCUGUUAGUAUGCAUUACGAUCCCAUGAUUACAAAGCUUAUUGUUUGGGGAGAAAACCGUGCUACAACAUUAGUUAAGCUGAAGGAUUGCCUAUCAAAAUUUCAG